rnacentral:misc_RNA from 1 species
UUUCCGUAGGUGAACCUGCGGAAGGAUCAUUAUUGUAUAACCGAGGUGCGAGGGCUGUCGCUGACCCGAAAGGUCGUGCACGCCCGAGUGCCCUCACACACAUCCAUCUCACCCCUAUGUGAACGUUACCAAACUGUUGCCUCGGCGGGAAAUUCAUGCCCCGGGCGCGUCGCAGCCCCGGACCAAGGCGCCCGCCGAAGGACCAACCAAAACUCUUUUGUAUGUCCCUCGCGGACUUUUAUAAUUCUGAACCAUCUCGGCGCCCCUAGCGGACGUUUCGAAAAUGAAUCAAAACUUUCAACAACGGAUCUCUUGGUUCUG